rnacentral:rRNA from 1 species
UACGUAGGGUGCAAGCGUUGUCCGGAAUUAUUGGGCGUAAAGAGCUCGUAGGCGGUUUGUCGCGUCUGCUGUGAAAACGCGAGGCCUCAACCUCGCGCCUGGCAGUGGGUACGGGCAGACUAGAGUGCGGUAGGGGGAGAUUGGAAUUCCUGGUGUAGCGGUGGAAUGCGGCCAGAUAUCAGGAGGAACACCGAUGGCGAAGGCGA